rnacentral:rRNA from 1 species
AGGACGAACGCUGGCGGCGUGCUUAACACAUGCAAGUCGAACGAGGUGCUUGCACCUAGUGGCGAACGGGUGAGUAACACGUGAGCAACCUGCCCUUGGCUCUGGGAUAGCCUCCGGAAACGGGGAUUAAUACCGGACAUGACCUUGGUCUGCAUGGACUGAGGUGGAAAGUUUUUUCGGCCAGGGAUGGGCUCGCGGCCUAUCAGCUUGUUGGGGGGGUAACGCCCACCAAGGCGACGACGGGUA